rnacentral:antisense_RNA from 1 species
AGUCAUGAUCUCUAUUCUCACUCAAUAGUGGUUGUGAUUAGCGAUACAGGAGUGCUCCAACACCUCUGUAUCGCGCU